GUCCAGACUCCUACGGGAGGCAGCAGUGAGGAAUAUUGGUCAAUGGACGAGAGUCUGAACCCGCCAAGUAGCGUGAAGGAUGACUGCCCUAUGGGUUGUAAACUUCUUUUAUAUGGGAAUAAAACGUUCCACGUGUGGGAUUUUGUAUGUACCAUAUGAAUAAGGAUCGGCUAACUCCGUGCCAGCAGCCGCGGUAAUACGGAGGAUGCGAGCGUUAUCCGGAUUUAUUGGGUUUAAAGGGUGCGCAGGCGGCGUGUCAAGUCAGCGGUAAAAUGUCGGGGCUCAACCCCGGCCGGCCGUUGAAACUGGCGUGCUCGAGUUGGAGAGAAGUAUGCGGAAUUCGUGGUGUAGCGGUGAAAUGCAUAGAUAUCACGAAGAACCCCGAUUGCGAAGGCAGCAUACCGGCUCCACACUGACGCUGAGGCACGAAAGCGUGGGUAUCGAACAGGAUUAGAUACCCGAGUA
rnacentral:rRNA from 1 species